UUUACGCAACCUCCACAUGCUCGAACAUCUCUGACGUAGCAGGCGUAAGGUAGGAGGGAGCCAUUCAUUCACCAACAACAGCAACACACACACACACACACACACAGAGACAGACAGACAGACAGACAGACAGCAGCGCUAACAUGUCGGAGAAGAAGCAGACCGUGGACCUGGGUUUACUGGAGGAGGACGAUGAGUUUGAAGAGUUCCCAGCAGAGGAUUGGACGGGGCUGGAUGAAGAUGAGGAUGCUCAUGUUUGGGAAGACAACUGGGACGAUGACAACGUAGAAGAUGAUUUCUCAAACCAGCUGAGAGCCGAGCUGGAAAAACAUGGUUACAAAAUGGAGACAUCAUAGCGGCUGACGUGGCCUCUAUGUAUACGAUGACAGUGGAUAUGGACAUUUCUGUUUGAAUAGAACCGGUAGACCACACAUCACCGGAAGAUAUUUGACGACGUGAAUUUGUUUCUUUUUUGUAAGAAAUAUGGAUAAAAAUAAACAGUUUGGAGAUUAAA